UGAUUUGUGAUGCACUGCAGUAAGAUCAUGAAAUUCAUGCUUUUAUUCGUGAGAACAAACACACCUUUACACAUCAUAAAAAAGAAAGAAAGAAGAGUCAACCCUAAAAAAAAUUAUGUGAAUGCUGAUGGGUGCCCUCAUACGCGCUUGUUGAUCCCUCCAGUCCCUUCCAAGUUGAUUAUUGGCCGGAGACUUCACUGUUAGCAAUUGACUUCCUGUUGAGCUCUCCAUAUAUUGGCACCCCUCACGUUGAGGUUAAGCAUCAGUUGCACCAUUACUGAUAUCUAUCAAUUAAUGGAGAAGAAACCUAAAGAAGCAAGAACGCCAUUGACAGGCUUUGCGUCAUUAAACGAAGACCUUGUUCAAAACAUUCUGAAGAGAACACCAGCUUCAUCCUUUGCAUCAGCUGCUUGUGUUUGCAAAUCAUGGAACCAAACUUGCAAUCAAAUCCUUUCCAAACCAAAGCUUGCUUCUGCCUUUUCUCUCAACCCAGACCAGAAGGUUGCAUCACAAGAGGUUGUGAAUAAGGUUCUCUCCGAGCCCAUUAGACCCCAGUUUGCCAUUGCAAAUGUUAUUGGGAGUGGUGUUGAUUUGAGUGAAACCCUCAAUUUUUUAGCAGCGAAACUUGGUUCAAAAACUCCAAUUAUUGUGUCUUGUGCAAAUGGAAUCAUAGGAAGAGAUGCUGCUACUGAUGAACAUCAAGAGGUUAUGUUAGAAGAUUUUUGGGCUGAUGCUGCAUCAAAAAAUUCAGGCUUUGGUGUCCUGCUGACUGUGGGAUUCUUACCGGGACUCCAAGUUGAAGCUAUCCCGUUGUUACGGCCAAGAAAGGCAGCUAGUCGAAUGGCAUUGGUUGAUAAGUUUGUGAUCGAUAUUAGGAAUUACGCAGCAAAUGUUUCUGGUUCCACUUCACCGGCUCUCGUUAUAAUGUUCGGAGGUGAAAAGGCCGAGCAAAAACCUGUCAUGGAAAAGUUGGAUCAUGCCAUGUCCAGGGAAACUUUCAUUGCGGGUGAUGAGAGAGCCCAAUUCCUGUACAAAAGUGGCAUAGAGUCAAGAAAUGUACACGGGAGCGGCACUGAAUAUAUUUCUGAUGCAGUUGUUCUUGUAUUUGCAAGGGAUCGACACAGAGCUUCUGAUGUAGGGGAAAUCCAGUUCCAUUCUGCAUUAUCAAGUGGUGUUUCUACAAUAGGUCCAAGGUACAAGGUAGUUUCUGUCAAAGAGAUUCAACCUGAGACAGAUCUUACUACAUGCCUUAAAGCUAGAAGAGAAGGAGAGCAAGAGAUUCUUGGAGGUCAAAGGAUUAUAGAUGACAUCAACAAUGAGUUGGUGAACAAAACUGAACUGUUCAUUGGGGUUUCAAAACAAAGACAAUGCGUUAUUGGGUCAGAGAAUCCAAAACUGUCGAGAUCCCUGGCUUUUCAUGAAGUUAAGAGAGGAGAUGGAGAACACCUUUUUAUUAGUGGAGAUGGCAUCGGUUCUGGAGACUAUUUUCAUUUCUACCAUUCAGAUCCAAAGGCCGCAUUAUCUUCAUGUAGUAAUGUCUCCAAGAAUUUCAGAAACUUGAAACUGGAUUGGAGAAGCUGCCAGCUUCACGCAGGUGGUGUUGGUAGUAAGGAAGUUGUUGGAGGUUUGGUUUUCUCUUGUUGGGGCCGUGGUGAAUCAUUCUUUGGACACAGCAACGUGGAUAGCUCACCAUUCUUGGAUAACUUUCCAGGAAUCCCAAUGGCAGGAAUAUUUUGCUAUGGCGAAGUCGGACGUGGCUUUACAAUGUUGAACGCAGAUGACCAUGAAGACCAAGAAGAACAGACUUCGUGUUGCUGUCUACAUGUAUAUAGCACUAUAUAUGUGUUGGUGUCUUAUACUCCAGCACCUCUAAAGCAUUAGAGUUUGUCCAUCUUCUUCGUGAUGGAUUACCAGAAGUACUGUUGACUCUCUCUACUAUUGGUCAUUUGGAGUUUUGAAGCACUAGAUGACUUGUUGUCUGAGUGGGUAGGCUGCAGUCUUAGGAUGUUCUUCGUGACUCGGUUUAAUUGCAAGGUGCUCGAAAUUACGCCGAAGUCUUCACUGUUAGUAAUUGACUUUCUUUUGAGGCUUUCCAUAAAUUAACACCCAUCACGUCCAGGUUAAGUAAUAGUUGCACCCUAUCUAG